AUGCUUAAAACCCUGGUCUCCACGCUCGUGCUGAUCCUUGUUUCCAGCGGAGCGGUGGACGCGAAGGUUUCUCAGCCUGCUGCGCUGACUUUGCUGGCGGGGGGCAGGGCUGACCUCCCCUGUAACCACAGUGUCGCUGCCUAUGACAGAGUUAUUUGGUACUAUCAGAGCCCCGGAGCUGCCCCUCGAGCUGUGAUCUCUGGCUACAAGUCCGCGGAUACAUCGGGGUGGUUUGAACUGUCCAUUGACCCCUCCCGCCGGUCCGCCCCGCUGCGCAUCACCAAGGUGGCGGUGGAGGACUCGGGGGUGUAUUACUGCGCCCUGAGAGACACAGCGAGAGGUAAUGCAGCGGCCAUGACCGGGAUGCUCUGCAGUGCAGAGUUAAAGUGA